UAAAAAAGUGUUAUGUAGAUAAAUAACCAAUAAUUUGAUAUUCUACAGGUUGGGAAGUUAUUUUUCAAGACCCCGAGGAAGUGUGAGGUGUAUGGAAUCAGCUGUGAAGGAUCUGGUAUUUGAAUUAAUUUAAUAUCAUUGCUAUCCACAAACUGAAUCAGUCUAAAUGUUAUCAACUACCAAUUGAUUAUUUACUUUUUAUUGUUGUGUGUGUGUGUGCGUUUGUGGUCUGGAGGUUAUCAUUCUCGUCUAAUAUCAAUCUUUUAUGAUAAGACAAUAACCAUGCAUUAUCUAAAUGUUUCAAACCACCUAUUAAUUAAUUGGAAAAAAACAAACUAUUUGGGUAUCUCAAGUAAGUUAUUACAGUUUAUUUAUUGGUCUUCUGUUUCACAGGAAAGCAGGUGAUUUACCUCGCAGACGAAGGCCAGUCACAUGGUAAAGAUGCAAAUGCUGUGGUCAGCAAGGUUCACCACUACCUCAACAUAUACGGUCUUGGCGAACAGCAUGCUCACUUUCAGUGUGAUAACUGUUGCGGCCAAAUUAAAAACAACAUAGUCAUCUGGUACCUUCUGUGAAGAGUUCUUGUAGGUUUACACAGAAUCAUCACACUAAGCUUUAUGUUGAUAAGACAUACAAAGUUAACACCAGAUUGGCACUUUGGCAUCUGGAAGUCAAAGUGGAGAAACUUCAAUGCAGAAAUGUUGUCUGAUGUCGCUGCGUCUGUGGGGUUAUCGUCAAGGCAAGCCACAACAUCCCCCAGCUUGUGGGGGACUCUUCCAAUCCUGUUGUUAUCUAAGACAGGAAGGAUUACCUUACGACAUUGUUUCACCACAUAAAGAAUGUCACCAAAUUUCAUCAAUUUCCAUGUGUCAGCGGAGCAUCCCGGUGUUGUGGAAUGCAGGGAAUUUAGUGACUCACCAGUAGUCAGAAUCACUCUCAGGAAGGUCUCGAAAGUGAAUGUUAAUGUGAGCUGUGACAACCUGCCAUAAGAAAUGUUUGCGAAAGGGCUUGAUCUGGACCAUCAGUGGUAUUUAUUUGAAAACAUUCGUGAAUUCUGUCGCAUAGAUGAAUAAAAAACUUGACAUGUCCGAAACGCGCUACUGGUGAGCAACAAAAAACAGACUGUGCCCCCCAAAAAAGAAGAUGCAUUAAGAUGCGCAUCUGAUCUUCUCUCAUAGUGCCACAACAAUUACGUACAUCAUGUAUCAGUGUUUAUUUUGGCCAAGGUAUUGGGUGAUAUAUUUUCCCCCAAACAAUGCAAAAAAUCCUCUAUUCCUAGGAAAGCUAAAACAUGUAUACGAUUGCUAAAUGUGUCAGUUGAUACAGGUUUUGAAAUGUUCAAUGCAAACGUUUGUUGUUCUAAUUGCACAAGCUUGUUUUCAAGUUUUUUAUAUCUCAUAUUUACAAAACAAAAAUCAUUUUUUCCAUGUAACCAUGCAAUUGUUUUCUCCUUAUGGACACAGACUGCCUUUCCGAAAAACUGGAAAAAAAAUCAGUGUGAAUAUUGUAUUUAUUUAUGUUUUACAAUGAAAAUCCUAUAUUUUUGCUUGUUUGCUACAUUGUUUCCAUAGUAACAAAAACAAACAAUUUUUAUGUUUAAGUUAUUGUUUAUUUUGUCUAUUUUUCUCUAUCAGAAAUAAUGAUAAAUAAUGAUUAUUUCAUUUACUGAAACAUUUAGUAUCCAAGUGUACUUUCAACCAACACUUUUCAAUGCUGUGUUUUUCCAUUCUGUUGUGUUUGAGGUUACAUUAUACUUAAAUACACAUGUAACUGAAUAAAAAAGGAAAUUGUUCAUGGAACACACAAAUUAUUGAUUGUUAUUGUUUAACUAGUUACAAAACAGUGAAAUUAAUGUUGUGUUUGCCUUUAAACAAACACUUGAUUGAAAAUACAAUUCAUAGAUUUAUAAAAGGCGUGAUUGUGUGCUCUGGUGAUUAUUAACAUGUAGAUCGGUUACCAUAGCAACACAAAUGGUACAUUUUAAAUGUCCAUAAUGCUGUUGUCAGUUUAUUGCACUAUAAUUAUGUGUUUGACUAAAGGAAAGAUUAUUGUUUUAAUAAAACAAUGUGCUUGUUGUUUGAA